GAAAAUCAGAGUAGAUGUUCCAUAUUUCUUUAUGUUUCAUUUUGCUGUUAUUUGCCAAGCGUAUUCAGGGUACCAAAUUAAGUAUUGAUUGAUGGUAGCAGUGAUAACAUUAAGACGUGGAGAUCAGGUUAAAGACAGAUAUGCACCAUGAAUCCAUAAUUGAGUAAGUCAGAAGGAAAUUUAAUUAGCCUUUUUCCUGUGUCCAUUGCAGUGCUUUAAUAAGAACAACAGAGAAUUCUUUUUUUUUCUUUUAAUUUGCUAAUCCAGGAUGUUCUCAAUGCUUUUAUGGACGUCAGCUAGCUAAAUACCUUGAGAGAAUAGCAAUACCAUCAAGUUACAUCUGUUUGUGACAUUUUCUCUAUGAUGGGACUAACAAAUUUGAUCUGUAUUAACUGAUUUUAAUAUGUAUUAACUCACACUUAUUGCACUACAACAAGAUUUUUGUCUUCUUAGCUCUUCUCUUCUUUGGGAAAUUACUCCAGGAUUUGAAUGGUCACAAGAGAUUCACCAGAGGAUUUUAUACACUUGGUCUGUGGCAGCAGAUUAAUUACACCACAACACCAGGUGACCAAAGCAU
rnacentral:lncRNA from 1 species